rnacentral:rRNA from 1 species
CGCGUAGGUGGUUCUGUAUGUCUAUCGUGAAAGCGUACGGCUCAACCGUAUUUUGUCGGUAGAAACUGCAGGACUUGAGGCUGGGAGGGGCUGGUGGAAUUCCCUGUGUAGCGGUGAAAUGCGUAGAGAUGGGGGAGAACACUCGUGGCGAAGGCGGCCAGCUAGACCAGUUCUGACACUGAGGCGCGAUAGCGUGGGGAGCAAACA